CAGCACUCUUGAGAAUAACAUGUGUUCUGCUCUUGGGUGAAGACGGUAGAUGUCCAGCAGGUCUAAUCAGUCUACAGUGGCGCUGAAAUCCUUCCGGUCCUCAUUGUUCUUCUUUGUCUUCAUUCUAACCAUUAUUGGAAGUGCUGUUUCAAAGUCUCAGCCAUUAUUGAUGAAUGGUAUUUUCGUCCCUUUAGUUAAGUCAGCUUUUGUUUCAUGUGUUCUGGGGCUCCGAGGUUACAUGCAUGUCUGUUUAUAAUUGCUCCGUCUUCUUGCGUAUACUGAGCCUCAAGUCCAUCAGCAGCUUCUUGGUGGGAUCAUAAAGAGGAGCCGCGGAAACGCCUGAGCUCUUAUCCUGUCCCUGUGCAGCAGGACAGCUUCUUCCCUAUAGGCAGUAAGGCCUCCACUGCCAUGUCAAAGACCGCAAAGAAAUGACUAAUGUUCUCUCAUUCUGUUUGGCAAACUACAGACAUACCCUUGGGCAAGUUUGCUUCUACAUAACAACCCCAUGGAUGUCUUGGCAGCCCUCGUGUCCUGUGGCGUUGCGCAAGUCUGAACGCCCAACAGAAAACAGUCUCAGUUGCCACAGUUUAUCUGUUCGUUAGGGUCACACCAUUCCUUCUACACAGGAAAAUGCCACCGUGGCUUUAUCUUUAAAGGAACUGCCACCAUGAUCAGGAUCCACAGUGGUUGCAAGAUAUCAGGAGGCGGCAUGUAAUGCUUUCUUCAUCGUUCUGUGAUUCAUGUCACUCGCGCUGGAGCGUAACCCACAAGCAGAUCUAGUGUCAAAUCUGGCAGCACCUCUGCUCCCCCGAAACCUUUGAAGCUCCAUUGCCCAACGGCCAGUGGUGACUGUUAGAUUAUGAGCCCUUUGCGAAGUGGAACAAACAACUCCCCCAAAAAGGGUGUAGCACCUCAUCUGCACUCCCUGCUAUAAAGGUGGUUUCUCGGAGUGGUCCUUGGGAGCUGGGACGUGACACAUACAGAUUUUGUGCUUCUGUCGGUCUUCUGUUCCUGCGUGAGUUUACUCUUGCAGCAGCUGCUGUCUAUAAUGGCGUCCCUAUGGACAAGGAGAGUCUUGUCGGUGCCACUAGACGGACGAUGCUCCAUUUUGCUUCCAGGUCCAGACGAUAAUGUUGGAAACCAGAGAAGGUCUUGCACAAUACACAAGCGUUCCAGACACUGCGAGUAUUUUCAAAUGCCCCAUAAAUCUAAAAGAUGUUGGAAAUUCAGAGGAUGGAACUUUAGUCAGUAGCACUAAAAAAAACCCUAUAUUUUUAAAGAGAAAUAUUGCAGAUAUACGGCACAUAACGUGGAGAAGUUUGGAGUUUUUUUUUUUUUUUUCCAUUUGUUGUCCUUCCAAUCUUCCUCAUGCCUCUAGAUAUUUUUCCCUUUUUAAAUGAGUUUUUCGGCGUUACAUACAUACAGAUAGGUAAUCCUAGCACACCCGCACAUUGCUUCCCUUCCAGUGCUUUAACACGUCAGCUCACAAAUGUGUCCGUGCAUUUCAGGGAGUCUUCAGCAAGCAGUCGCACACUUAGAUGAUGGGCGCCAUGGCAAGUCACCUGAGCUGGCAGAUCUGAAAAGUCCUGCCUUGCCCUAGUGCAUGUUUGAAAUUGACUGUUUGUUCUUGGAAGGCUGGGAUGCUCUCUUAAGAAGGGGAACGUGCUAUGUACAGACAGUUGACGUUAGGAAAUGGCAUGAUCAUGGUUUACUGUAACUGGAUGUGAAUUCUCCCCACGUCCCCCAUAUCAGGUCAUUUUAAAUUACCUAUUGAAUUCAAAAUAUUUAUAAAUACUUGGAGUCUUGAAUGGCUCCAAGCUAGAGUAACACUUGCCAAGUCUAAGUUAGCUCUCCUUUGAAGGCUGAGCCUCUUGUUUCCACAUCAGUGCUCCAAGCAGAGCCUCUGACAGCAGAUGGCUCCUCUACAGCAUCCCUCCCCACCCCCCAGGGUGAAGGCGUGUGACCAAGGCCCCCUCCCUGAUGCCUCCAGGAUCCUCUUCAUCCCCUUCUUGCUUUUCUCCUUGUUAUCAGUCAUGCCACUCCCCGGCCUCACCUUCUGCUAGGAUGGGCUUCACCUCCCACCUUUUGUUGCUGAAGAGAACUCAGAAAACCCCAGCUCUUCCAGUGCUCUCAGAGCCUAGGAGAGCACCGAGCUGGGUGCUUGCACGUGGGCAGUUGGUGUCUCCAGGUCAUUCAAAUGGAGUGAUAUCCAGUUCAAUCAACUCCUCCCCGAGAAUUCCCAGCCCCUACCUUGGGGAUGCCUUCAAACACUCACAUACACAUAUGCAUAUACGGAUACACACAGGCACACACCAACAACAGCCACCACAAAUUCGGGAAAAUGGUGAGUUUCGCCUGGGCAGGGAGCACUCCUGCAUUCCCGGCGAGGAGUUCUGAGUUGAAAAGUCCAUCGUCAGUGUCACGAAAAUAGUAUAUGCUCUUCAAUGGGAAAUAGGUGGGUAACUUGGCCCUUCCUGGGCUGAUCGCACCACGGCCCCAGGUUGACUUCUGAUAAGGCACAUGGCAGAGUUCAGUGUGCUUGUGAGAUACAAAUGUCACGGAUCAGCUCCUGGAAAUUUUCUACCCUAAUCGGCCUCAGGCUGUUUAUUUUCAAAUCUAUGUAUCGCUCUUUUAGGCAGGUUUCCAGGAGGAUUAUCUGGAUCUGAGUGUAUUUCCAGCUCCCUCCUCUCUUAAUAAUGGCUGAGAAGGAACUGGCCAAACCACAGGAACUGUAUUUGAAGGAUAAAUGGCACCUUUGCUGGAAACCGCAUGGAAACAAACAUUAUUGUGCUGCCCCCGCCUGUGCCUUCACAGGUUCUUGAUUCUAAUUUAUGCUCUUUCAAAAUGCGCCGAAUUAGUAAGUAUUUGAAUCAUUCCUACAUGUACAUAUUAGGCUUAUUUUAUUUUCAAGCAUUUCAGGGUGCGUACCCAGAAGUGAGAGAUGUUUUUAGCAGGUGCAACUACAUUGUAGGCUCCCACCGAGCUCCUCUGCCCACGGAAGAAGGCUUUGUCCCUCCAAAUCAGCUUCCUAGUGACAUGGAGGUGUCCCUCCUUGAUGUUUUACGUUCCCCAAUGCAAACAGUGCAUCGUCUACUUCAAUAUUAGGCUCCAGUCAGGUUUUUGACAUCAGUAUUUUUUCUCCACUUUUCGGAAUGUGUGCCUGGAAUUGUCUCUGGAAACCUGAAUGGCAGGCUUGACUUUCAUGCCUUACCUGGAGCCUAUUUGUACUGGAAACAAAUGUUUUUGUGUUAUUCUCCUUUGGGAGGGCUAUAUUAAUCAGAAUACUCCUUCCCAGAUCUCUUUGCGCACCAAAUUGAAUAAGGUUAAAUGGCUCUCUAUGGGAUAAAGGUGGGCAAAGAUGAUUUGCAUCUGGCAAUACCCUGAGACAGCUCAUUCUGGUUCCUUGUGCUGGGCCCUGGGUACCCCUUCUCUUCAUUCAUUCUGGCAGAGGGCAAAUGCAUCUCGAUGAUCUAGAAGCAUCAAGAUCGAGGUUAAAAAUAAGUGGGAUCCAAUCCAGCAACAUUUUAUGCUGAUCACUAUUCUGCUCCUUUGAAGAGACGUCAAAUGCAGGUUGUGAUCAGUUACAUGGAGCUGACUUACUCGGCUUCCCCGCUUGGGAUUACCAUUAGGAGAGAGUUCCUGGACUUGUCAAGGACAGCCGUUUUCCCUUCACCUCAAAGCGACGUCAGAACAAGUGGCAUUAGGACAUCUCAGAAAAGUUUUCAUAUUCUAUGUAGUAUUUCUUGUUGCCAUGAAGUUACUAGGAAACGUCUUAUUAAUUUCUUUUUUUUUUUAAAUCAGGAAAUAGAGAUCAGGGUGUCUGUCUGCAGGGACACCAACGCUGUGCAAUAAGAAGUGGGCACUAUUAACAAAACAAAGGUUCGUCCUAUGCAUUUUUUUUUUUUUUUGGGUCUUUUUAGGGCUGUAGCAGCAGCAUAUGAAAGUUCCAGGCUAGGGUCAAAUCAGAGCUGCCAGCCACAGCCACAGCCACAGCUCAUGGCAGCACUAGAUCCUUAACCCACUGAGAAAGGCCAGAAAUCAAACAUGCAUUCUCAUGAAUGCCAGUCAACUAGUCAGAUUUUUUUUGUUGUCUUUUCUAGGGCCGCACUCAUGGCAUAUGGAGGUUCCCAGGCUAGGGAUCUAAUUAGAGCUGUAGCCACCAGCCUACUCCAGAGGCACAGCAACCCGGGGUCCGAGCCACAUCUGUGACCCACACCACAGCUCACGGCAACAUUGGAUCCUUAACCCACUGAGCGAGGCCAGGGAUUGAACCCAAAAUCUCAUGUUCCUAGUCAGAUUCGUUAACCCCUGAGCCACAACAGGAACACCAACUAGUCAGAUUCUUAACCCGCUGAGCCACAAUGGGAACUCCCCACCCUGUAGAGUUUGAAAAACCUAAGGACGAAUAGCACCCUACAUUUUUGGUGGAGCUUGUACAGGUGGGAUGAUAAAUGGGACAACUGUUUGGGAGUCAGGGUUUGGGGAAGAAGGAAGCAGGACACAGUGUCUGAAGGGAGACCAGGGGAGAGAAGCCUCAUCAGGAGCAUUCUGCACGGAUGGAAAAAUUGAAAACAAACUAAUAAACCAGCCACACGGCUGUACCUCAAGCUCCGGGCACUCAUUAGUGAUCACAUGAGAGCACAUGAUAGCCAUAUUUUCUUGCUGGUAAUGGGUUGUCUUCUUUCACCCCUUCGGAAGUUAAGGACUUUAUUAAGGAGCACUUAAUAUCUUGGCCUAACCAUGCAGCAACAGACUACCAUAGUGGAAAGAGAUUUAGGGGUUGGUGGAAAGAGUGUAUGGAAGAAACAACGGAGAGAAACCAUUUGAAACUCGUCGAGAAGCUGUUUCAACCAGUCCAGAGAUGUUUAUCUUAGCUCCUUAUCUGUUAGCCACAAAGAUGUACUUCGGCUCCAUCAGACCUUGCAGCUCUUCCCCUCUGCCACCUUUUGGAAGUUUGGAGCUUACCAUUCCGUGACCUGGGACAUGAUCGGGCACAUCCUUCUCCCAGCUCACAUCUACAGAGCACAGCUUAGGAGUUAUGCCAACAAGCCCUGUGUGGCUCAAAUGGGCUGAGAAGGGCCCUGCCCCAGGUGGGCACACUCUCCCAUCACUACCCAGUCCCAUGCACUGUUCCUGCAGCUGCUGCUUCUGUGAGGGUCAGAUGCAGUCUCACUGAUGAGGAGAAGGUGCUGCCAAGGCUCCCGGAGGCGGGGAUGUUAUCCUGUCACAGCUGGCAAAGAGCACGUUGAGAUUGGAUCACGAAGUGUUAUUCUAAGUCACCAAGUUCAUGUGUAAGUAAUGGGAGACUCACACUCUCCGCUGAAUGACGAAGACGAGCACGGACGCCUCGGCUCCAAGUGCAUCUCACAGGAAACCGAUAACCAGAUGCGCCCACACCCGAGCACUUACAGAAACAGAGCCUCCUCCCCGUCCUUCCCCGUCUCCUGCGGCCCAUCCUCAAUCCACAUGAAGUGGCUGAUGAACUCGUACCAGUUCUGGUCAUGCAGCGUGGAAGUGCCUUUCCAAAUGAUGGGGACUUUCAGAAACAAAACAGUGAUUUCUCAUAUAGAGAUGUAGGAAAUAACUACACAAAGCCACUCCUCCACUAUUUCUUCUGUAACAUGGAGCCAAAGACUGAAAUAAAAGGAAGAAAAAAUG
rnacentral:lncRNA from 1 species